AGGUAUUGGGACUACUGCUGCCUUCCCAUCCUCAAGGGCCAGUGGGAACUCUAAUAUUGAUUGGUUGUCACAGAAUUCCGUGGACUUUAACCAGUGAUGCGCUGAUUUUGUCAUUUGUACCAGCUAACUCAUCUGGGAGGCAACAAAACAAUAUUCUCCUGAGGUUAAUGUGGACGAAGAACUAGAUUUCAUGUAAAAAGAGUUUAUUCCUUCUAUUUGAGGUGUGACAUGAAGGAAAG
rnacentral:lncRNA from 1 species